CUAUAGCUUUUGAUCGAUGGUCGCCCGGUGGACUCAGCCGGGCGUGAAAAGGGAACUCGGAAGGGUUGCGACCCCAAGCCGAGGCUGCCCCCGCAACUGUAUGCGGCGAGCCUGCGCUCACAUGCCACUGGCCAGCGGCCGGGAAGGCGAGCGCGCGCUUAGACCCGCGAGCCAGGAGACCUGCCAUCGCCAACCGCGCCGU
rnacentral:ncRNA from 2 species